UGAGGUUUUAUCUUAAUUAAAGUGUUUGAGUUGCAUUCAGAUUAUGUAAGAUAGAGUCUUGCAAACCUUA
rnacentral:tRNA from 1 species